GCGAGAGUGCUGGAAUGGUAGACAGGCACGUUUGAGGUGCGUGUGUCGCAUGGCGUGGGAGUUCGAGUCUCCUCUCUCGCACCA
rnacentral:tRNA from 1 species